GAUGAACGCUGGCUACAGGCUUAACACAUGCAAGUCGAGGGGAAACGACGGGGAAGCUUGCUUCCCCGGGCGUCGACCGGCGCACGGGUGAGUAACGCGUAUCCAACCUGCCUCUGACUGAGGGAUAACCCGUCGAAAGUCGGCCUAAUACCUCAUGGCAUCGUCUGCGGGCAUCCAACGACGAUUAAAGAUUUCAUCGGUCAGGGAUGGGGAUGCGUCUGAUUAGCUUGUUGGCGGGGUAACGGCCCACCAAGGCUACGAUCAGUAGGGGUUCUGAGAGGAAGGUCCCCCACAUUGGAACUGAGAUACGGUCCAAACUCCUACGGGAGGCAGCAGUGAGGAAUAUUGGUCAAUGGGCGAGAGCCUGAACCAGCCAAGUAGCGUGCAGGAUGACGGCCCUAUGGGUUGUAAACUGCUUUUAUGCGGGGAUAAAGUGAGGGACGUGUCCUUCAUUGCAGGUACCGCAUGAAUAAGGACCGGCUAAUUCCGUGCCAGCAGCCGCGGUAAUACGGAAGGUCCGGGCGUUAUCCGGAUUUAUUGGGUUUAAAGGGAGCGUAGGCCGUGGAUUAAGCGUGUUGUGAAAUGCAGGUGCUCAACGUCUGCACUGCAGCGCGAACUGGUUCACUUGAGUGUGCGCAACGCAGGCGGAAUUCGUCGUGUAGCGGUGAAAUGCUUAGAUAUGACGAAGAACUCCGAUUGCGAAGGCAGCUUGCGGGAGCACAACUGACGCUGAAGCUCGAAAGUGCGGGUAUCGAACAGG
rnacentral:rRNA from 1 species